rnacentral:rRNA from 1 species
CCUUUCGAUCCGUAAGGACCGAAUGGGGAAACCGGCGAACGGGUGCGUAACACGUGAGGAACCUGCCCCGAAGACCGGGAUAGCCCGAGGAAACUCGGAUUAAUACCGGAUACCCUCCUCGGACCACAUGGUCUGUUGAGGAAAUGGUCCGCCGCUUCGGGAUGGCCUCGCGGCCUAUCAGCUUGUUGGUGAGGUAAUGGCUCACCAAGGCAAAGACGGGUAGCUGGUCUGAGAGGACGAUCAGCCACACUGGGACUGAGACACGGCCCAGACUCCUACGGGAGGCAGCAGCAGGGAAUAUUGCACAAUGGGCGAAAGCCUGAUGCAGCGACACCGCGUGCGGGAUGAAGGCCCUCGGGUUGUAAACCGCUUUCAGGAGGGACGAAAAUGACGGUACCUCCAGAAGAAGGCCCGGCCAACUACGUGCCAGCAGCCGCGGUAAUACGUAGGGGCCAAACGUUGUCCGGAUUUAUUGGGCGUAAAGGGCUCGUAGGCGGUUCAACAAGUCGAUCGUGAAAGCCCGGGGCUCAACCCCGGGACGCCGGUCGAAACUGUUGUGACUAGGGUCCGGUAGAGGUGAGUGGAAUUCUCGGUGUAGCGGUGGA